rnacentral:rRNA from 1 species
CCUACGGGAUGCACCAGGAAGGAAUAUUGGACAAUGGGCGAAAGCCUGAUCCAGCAAUACCGCGUGAAUGAUGAAGGCCUUAGGGUUGUAAAGUUCUUUUAGUAGGGAAGAUAAUGACGGUACCUACAGAAAAAGCCCCGGCUAACUCCGUGCCAGCAGCCGCGGUAAGACGGAGGGGGCUAGCGUUGUUCGGAAUUACUGGGCGUAAAGGGCGCGUAGGCGGAUUAGUAAGUUGGAAGUGAAAUCCCGGGGCUUAACCUCGGAAUUGCUUUCAAAACUACUAGUCUAGAGUGAAGUAGGGGAUGAUGGAAUUUCUAGUGUAGAGGUGAAAUUAUUAGAUAUUAGAAGGAACACCGGUGGCGAAGGCGAUCAUCUGGGCUUCUACUGACGCUGAGGCGCGAAAGCGUGGGGAGCAAACAGGAUUAGAUACCCUAGUAGUC